rnacentral:lncRNA from 1 species
GAUUCCUCUGACGCUCCGGUGUACUUCGAGAUAGUCGCCGAGGUUCCUCCAGCAGCAGAGCAAGGCAAGUCAUGCUUGUCACUUGAACAUGUUAAUCCUAUAUUGCAAAUGCCCUAUUGUUUUCUUUCAAAUAUUGCACUGUUUUAUAACAUUACUAUGGGAUGGUUACCUAUUGUUACAGCCAUGCUUUUUGGAUACCAUGCUCCUUUGUUAGCUUGGGGUUAUAACAUGAUUAGAGUUUGGACUAGGAAUUGCUUAGCCAUGCUUAGUUCAACUAGUUCACAUGGGGGAAAAUCAUAUUAAUGUCUAGACUGUUGGUUCUAAUGAUAAUGUUGGAUUAGUACCACCGCUCUGGUGUUGGUUAAAUAAAAUGAAUCACAUAGUGGGCUGUGGGUGCAUGGUUUUGCUGGUCGCACCCAUGGCAGUUAAGGACCGGUUCGCGGGAUGCCCUGGAAGAACUUAUCCUACUUACCACAAGCCAGCGUGGGCAAUGGCUGGGCUUGUAGUGUAGCUUCCUCUAGUCGACGCAUCCAGGCAAGGGUGGGCGUGAUGGAGCGGGGCGGGCCCUGCGACGGCCUCUGUCGCUUCCGGAUUCACCUAGGCACGAGAGGGGACUGCCCGUUGCCCGCUGGGGACGGGGGUGAAACCUGAGGUGUGGUGUGCUUGGCUAGAGGGGGUUAUGCGAAGGGUCCUGUCACGGCCUCUUUCCGGUAUGUCGUGGUGGCAUGUCGGCGCACGGAAACGUGUCGUGGGGCUGUGUCUUGUGGGUACAGUUGUACACCUCUGAUCAGAGUAAAACUAUUCGAAUAGCCGUGCCCGCGGUUAUGGGCGGUCAACCAGAUUCACCGUGAUUAGUCUCAUCUUAGUGUAAUCUUUUAAUUUGGAUAGCUUAGUGGAUGGUUGGGCCUGUCGCAACGUGGGUUAACGUUGGACAGCGGAUGAUUAAUAUUAAUUCAUUAUUACAACUGUUUAAAUCUUUCAAUUUCUGUUUAUAAAUGCUCGCUUUAUGCAAGUGAACCACUUUAGCUCUUCUUUGAUGAUUCCCUGCAUCAUACCUCUAUUCCGGUAUGACUUGCUGAGUACAGUGGGUAGUACUCAGUCUUGCUCUACUUUUCCCAACCCCAGAGUUCGAGUUCGGGUCAGAUGAAGGUUUCUCCGAGGAGUAGGCUUCGUCCGUGCCGUCGAGGAUGCCUGUGGAGUGGUGUUCCCGCUGCAGUUUAGUCAAGGCUUAGCUCCUGUUGUCUUUCUUUUCUUCCGCUGCAUUUAUGUAAGACUUUUAUGAUGUUUGUAAGACGUGGAUCUGGAUGUCAACAUUGUCGUUUGUGUACCCCGGCCGGUCCUGGACGGGGAUUUU